rnacentral:lncRNA from 1 species
GCACCUCCGCCCGUCGCCUCUCUCCGGCGAGCACCCCUCGCCUGUCCGUGUCGCCACUGCCGCCUGUCCCCCCGCUGGUCGCCGUUCGCGACGCUGGAGCCACUCCUCAUCCGCGACCAGGUGCAGUUUGCCGCGGCACCGCUGCUGCCUCGCCGCUCAGCCUGCACCUCAAUCGAUAUCCGAGCAGACGCCCCAGCAGAUCGCCUCCGCCUGCAACCCAGCCUCGUUGCCGACGCCUGAAGCUCGCACCGACCCGCGACGACUCGACACCUCUGACCUCUGAAGCUCCGUCGUCGUCGCUCUUGCCCCCGUGAAGUUGCUGCUGCUCGACGCCACUGCUCACCACCGCCGCCGCGACCCGCGACCCAGCUGCUGUUCGCCGGUCACUGUCGCCCCGCCAGCGCCCGACGCCUGCUGCGGCCGUGACGACCCCGACGCUUGGAACUGCUGCUGUCGCUCUGCGCGACGCCUCUGCCGCUGCUCUCCCUUCGCCGCCGCUUCUGCAGUCCGUGACCCGUGACCCA